UACGUAGGGUGCGAGCGUUGCCCGGAUUUAUUGGGCGUAAAGGGCGCGUAGGCGGCUCGGCACGUCCGUUGUGAAAUCGCCCGGCUCAACUGGGCGGGGUCAGCGGAUACGGUCGAGCUUGAGCAAGCUAGGGGGUAAUGGAAUUCCCGGUGUAGUGGUGGAAUGCGUAGAUAUCGGGAGGAACACCAGUGGCGAAGGCGGUUACCUGGGGCUUUGCUGACGCUGAUGCGCGAAAGCGUGGGGGAGCGAGCCGG
rnacentral:rRNA from 1 species